GGGUUGUGAGGUUAAGCGACUAAGCGUACACGGUGGAUGCCCUGGCAGUCAGAGGCGAUGAAGGACGUGCUAAUCUGCGAUAAGCGUCGGUAAGGUGAUAUGAACCGUUAUAACCGGCGAUUUCCGAAUGGGGAAACCCAGUGUGAUUCGUCACACUAUCAUUAACUGAAUCCAUAGGUUAAUGAGGCGAACCGGGGGAACUGAAACAUCUAAGUACCCCGAGGAAAAGAAAUCAACCGAGAUUCCCCCAGUAGCGGCGAGCGAACGGGGAGCAGCCCAGAGCCUGAAUCAGUGUGUGUGUUAGUGGAAGCGUCUGGAAAGGCGCGCGAUACAGGGUGACAGCCCCGUACACAAAAAUGCACAUAUUGUGAGCUCGAUGAGUAGGGCGGGACACGUGGUAUCCUGUCUGAAUAUGGGGGGACCAUCCUCCAAGGCUAAAUACUCCUGACUGACCGAUAGUGAACCAGUACCGUGAGGGAAAGGCGAAAAGAACCCCGGCGAGGGGAGUGAAAAAGAACCUGAAACCGUGUACGUACAAGCAGUGGGAGCACGCUUCGGCGUGUGACUGCGUACCUUUUGUAUAAUGGGUCAGCGACUUAUAUUCUGUAGCAAGGUUAACCGAAUAGGGGAGCCGAAGGGAAACCGAGUCUUAACUGGGCGUUAAGUUGCAGGGUAUAGACCCGAAACCCGGUGAUCUAGCCAUGGGCAGGUUGAAGGUUGGGUAACACUAACUGGAGGACCGAACCGACUAAUGUUGAAAAAUUAGCGGAUGACUUGUGGCUGGGGGUGAAAGGCCAAUCAAACCGGGAGAUAGCUGGUUCUCCCCGAAAGCUAUUUAGGUAGCGCCUCGUGAAUUCAUCUCCGGGGGUAGAGCACUGUUUCGGCAAGGGGGUCAUCCCGACUUACCAACCCGAUGCAAACUGCGAAUACCGGAGAAUGUUAUCACGGGAGACACACGGCGGGUGCUAACGUCCGUCGUGAAGAGGGAAACAACCCAGACCGCCAGCUAAGGUCCCAAAGUCAUGGUUAAGUGGGAAACGAUGUGGGAAGGCCCAGACAGCCAGGAUGUUGGCUUAGAAGCAGCCAUCAUUUAAAGAAAGCGUAAUAGCUCACUGGUCGAGUCGGCCUGCGCGGAAGAUGUAACGGGGCUAAACCAUGCACCGAAGCUGCGGCAGCGACACUAUGUGUUGUUGGGUAGGGGAGCGUUCUGUAAGCCUGCGAAGGUGUACUGUGAGGUAUGCUGGAGGUAUCAGAAGUGCGAAUGCUGACAUAAGUAACGAUAAAGCGGGUGAAAAGCCCGCUCGCCGGAAGACCAAGGGUUCCUGUCCAACGUUAAUCGGGGCAGGGUGAGUCGACCCCUAAGGCGAGGCCGAAAGGCGUAGUCGAUGGGAAACAGGUUAAUAUUCCUGUACUUGGUGUUACUGCGAAGGGGGGACGGAGAAGGCUAUGUUGGCCGGGCGACGGUUGUCCCGGUUUAAGCGUGUAGGCUGAUUUUCCAGGCAAAUCCGGAGAAUCAAGGCUGAGGCGUGAUGACGAGGCACUACGGUGCUGAAGCAACAAAUGCCCUGCUUCCAGGAAAAGCCUCUAAGCAUCAGGUAACAUCAAAUCGUACCCCAAACCGACACAGGUGGUCAGGUAGAGAAUACCAAGGCGCUUGAGAGAACUCGGGUGAAGGAACUAGGCAAAAUGGUGCCGUAACUUCGGGAGAAGGCACGCUGAUACGUAGGUGAAGUCCCUCGCGGAUGGAGCUGAAAUCAGUCGAAGAUACCAGCUGGCUGCAACUGUUUAUUAAAAACACAGCACUGUGCAAACACGAAAGUGGACGUAUACGGUGUGACGCCUGCCCGGUGCCGGAAGGUUAAUUGAUGGGGUCAGCGCAAGCGAAGCUCUUGAUCGAAGCCCCGGUAAACGGCGGCCGUAACUAUAACGGUCCUAAGGUAGCGAAAUUCCUUGUCGGGUAAGUUCCGACCUGCACGAAUGGCGUAAUGAUGGCCAGGCUGUCUCCACCCGAGACUCAGUGAAAUUGAACUCGCUGUGAAGAUGCAGUGUACCCGCGGCAAGACGGAAAGACCCCGUGAACCUUUACUAUAGCUUGACACUGAACAUUGAGCCUUGAUGUGUAGGAUAGGUGGGAGGCUUUGAAGUGUGGACGCCAGUCUGCAUGGAGCCGGCCUUGAAAUACCACCCUUUAAUGUUUGAUGUUCUAACGUAGACCCGUGAUCCGGGUUGCGGACAGUGUCUGGUGGGUAGUUUGACUGGGGCGGUCUCCUCCUAAAGAGUAACGGAGGAGCACGAAGGUUGGCUAAUCCUGGUCGGACAUCAGGAGGUUAGUGCAAUGGCAUAAGCCAGCUUGACUGCGAGCGUGACGGCGCGAGCAGGUGCGAAAGCAGGUCAUAGUGAUCCGGUGGUUCUGAAUGGAAGGGCCAUCGCUCAACGGAUAAAAGGUACUCCGGGGAUAACAGGCUGAUACCGCCCAAGAGUUCAUAUCGACGGCGGUGUUUGGCACCUCGAUGUCGGCUCAUCACAUCCUGGGGCUGAAGUAGGUCCCAAGGGUAUGGCUGUUCGCCAUUUAAAGUGGUACGCGAGCUGGGUUUAGAACGUCGUGAGACAGUUCGGUCCCUAUCUGCCGUGGGCGCUGGAGAACUGAGGGGGGCUGCUCCUAGUACGAGAGGACCGGAGUGGACGCAUCACUGGUGUUCGGGUUGUCAUGCCAAUGGCACUGCCCGGUAGCUAAAUGCGGAAGAGAUAAGUGCUGAAAGCAUCUAAGCACGAAACUUGCCCCGAGAUGAGUUCUCCCUGACCCUUUAAGGGUCCUGAAGGAACGUUGAAGACGACGACGUUGAUAGGCCGGGUGUGUAAGCGCAGCGAUGCGUUGAGCUAACCGGUACUAAUGAACCGUGAGGCUUAACCUUACAACGCCGAAGGUGUUU
rnacentral:rRNA from 1 species